AGAUUGAACGCUGGCGGCAUGCCUUACACAUGCAAGUCGAACGGCAGCACGGGAGCAAUCCUGGUGGCGAGUGGCGAACGGGUGAGUAAUACAUCGGAACGUGCCCAAUCGUGGGGGAUAACGCGAGCGACAGGCUGUGCUAAGUACCGCAUAAGAUCUAACGGGAGUAGAAAAGCGAGGGGAUCCGACAAGGACCUUGGCCGACGAAGUGGACGCCGGUCCGAUGGCAGGAGUUAGGUAGUUGGUGAAGGUAAACGGCUCAACCGAAGCCUUCGAUCGUGUAGCGUGUCG
rnacentral:rRNA from 1 species